rnacentral:rRNA from 1 species
GGUUGCGAUCAUACCAGCACUAAUGCACCGGAUCCCAUCAGAACUCCGCAGUUAAGCGUGCUUGGGCGAGAGUAGUACUAGGAUGGGUGACCCCCUGGGAAGUCCUCGUGUUGCGACCC